CGUAGGUGCAAGCGUUAAUCGGAAUUACUGGGCGUAAAGCGUGCGCAGGCGGUUGUGUAAGUCAGAUGUGAAAUCCCCGGGCGUCAACCUGGGAAGUUGCAUUUGUAGACUGCACGGCUAGAGUGUGUCAGAGGGGUAGGAAUUCCACGUGUAGCAGUGAAUAGCGUAGAUAUGUGGAGGAAUACCGAUGGCGAAGGCAGCCCCUCGGGAGUAACACUGACGCUCAUGCACGAAAGCGUGGGAGGCAAACAGGAUU
rnacentral:rRNA from 1 species